rnacentral:lncRNA from 1 species
ACUAAUGAUGUAUUUAAAAAAAUUCUAAUGGCUGCCUCUGAUAGAAAGAGCUGCACAGAUAAACCAAACUCUUAAGUAAAACCCAUGAACAAGGAAGAGGGAAAAUAAAAAGUCAUAGCUAAGCAACAGAAAUAUCUGCAUCUUUCCAUACUAAGCACCAGAAGGGUUGCCAUUUGACAACAGGUUUCUCCUCCUUACAGACAGAGGUUGCUCAGCCCAGGCUAGCCCCAGCACAGCAGCAGGUGCGUGGGAUGUCCCCAGAAAGCCGCGCACUCCGGGGUGUGGCUGGCGAGGUGAGUGGGUUGGGGUGCAUGCUCUACUGCUUUUGGUAUUAGUGAAAGUGCCAAGGACAGCGAUAAAGGAUGGCAAGGAGCCUUUGGUGUGAGACCCAGGGAGCUUUGCUCCUGAGGGGUAAUCAGGGAUCAAACAGCCCCAAAUACAGCUGUGCUCGGGAUUUUAUACAGCAGCAAUGUAAUGGGCGGGUACAAUCAAUCAGCCAAUGGGGAGCUGGGGGAGGAGCAAGGGGCGGGAUUACAGAGCAGGGACCAACAGGGAUGAGGGGGAGGAGAGGACAGGUCACCUAGGCCAAUGGGGCCUCGAGGGUCAGGAGACAGACAGGGAAGGGUCUAGAACAAAGGGCAUGGUUUGCAGUGAUGGACAGGGAAGGGUCUGGAAUAAUGGUCAGGGCACACAAUGAUGUUGGGAAUUUACAGUGGUAAAAAAGGGAGAUUGACAUAAACCCUUCUGGAACAAGGUGAAUGAUAUCAGGAUGAGUGACACAGGAGAAGGGUUGGGAGAACUUAAAGAGAAAUUAUUCUAUUUCAGGGGAGAAAUGAAUUCGGGGCCAACCACUGGCACAAAUAAUUAACAUCAAUUAAACAUUUAACAAUAAAAACACACCACCAAAACAGAUACUCCUGGAGAAAUAUACGCCUCAUUUGACACACACAAAUACCUGGAUAGAUGAUCUUGGAAAAGAUGAGGCUUGGAAAAAUGACCUGGAUAGAGAUCAUGGCUUGGGUUGGUUCUGCAGCCACACAGCCUCACUUUCCUUGGUGCACACAGAUGCUCAGCAGAAUGGAGAGGCAGUGCCUGGGUUUCUCUUCUUUUGAGAAAGCGGUCUCCACUUCAGAGGAUCCACACUUGCCAUCAGCCAUGAGAAGCUGGACUCCUCUACCCAAGACUUCAAAAACCCCUUAG